UUUAAACUAUUUGGCUAAUUCAGCUGGCCUAAGGGGUGUUUCCAUGGCAACACAAAUCCCAAAAUAACAAAGACCACUGGUACUCUGACCCUGAAACUGACCUGCCUGCUAGAAUAUGCAUAAGCAAAGAAGACAGAGGCAGAGGAAGCGAGACAGGAAGGUGUCUAGGAAAGAAGAAAGGAAAGAGAGAAGAAUGAAUGUGAAAAGGAGAAUAGACAGGUAGAACAAGACAGCCUUUACAGAUUUAAUAGGUAACAGUGAGGGAGCUAAACUAAGAUGGAUAGUCAAUAUGGAUCACAAUGCUACUAAGGGAAGAGGAGAGUUAAGACUUUGUGUUGUGACAGUAAAAGCCAGUCAGCCAGAACUUCCUCUGACAUUCACAGUCCAGUCACACAGCAGGCUGCAGCAGAUUACACAAGACUGAGGAGACUGUCAUAAGAUUGCAAGCAGUGAAAAGCAUCUCACUUAGCAGUCAUUACAAUGAGCAUGACACGGGUCAUGUGGGACACAUAUGAACUGAGGUGGCCAAAGUCAUUGAUAGGUGACUGUUUGGUAGUUUUACUAUUCUACUGUAAAACUUGUGUUGUGAAAUCUGCAGUGAUCAGAUCAAGCAACUUGUUACUGAAACCUGAACAUAAAUAAAACUCUACUUUUCACAAGA